AACGAACGCUGGCGGCAUGCCUAACACAUGCAAGUCGAACGAGACCUUCGGGUCUAGUGGCGCACGGGUGCGUAACGCGUGGGAACCUGCCCUUAGGUUCGGAAUAACUCCCCGAAAGGGGUGCUAAUACCGGAUAAUGCCUCCGGACCAAAGAUUUAUCGCAUUUGGAUGGGCCCGCGUUGGAUUAGCUAGUUGGUAGGGUAAAAGCCUACCAAGGCGACGAUCCAUAGCUGGUCUGAGAGGAUGAUCAGCCACACUGGGACUGAGACACGGCCCAGACUCCUACGGGAGGCAGCAGUGGGGAAUAUUGGACAAUGGGCAAAAGCCUGAUCCAGCAAUGCCGCGUGAAUGAUGAAGGCCUUAGGGUUGUAAAGCUCUUUUACCCGGGAUGAUAAUGACAGUACCGGGAGAAUAAGCGCCGGCUAACUCCGUG
rnacentral:rRNA from 1 species